rnacentral:rRNA from 1 species
ACGGAAGGCAGCAGUGAGGAAUAUUGGACAAUGGCCGGAAGGCUGAUCCAGCCAUGCCGCGUGAAGGCAGACGGUCCUAUGGAUUGUAAACUUCUUUUGUACGGGAGCAAUAAGGUCUACGCGUAGGCCGAUGAGAGUACCGUACGAAUAAGCAUCGGCUGACUCCGCGCCAGCAGCCGCGGUAAUACGGAGGAUGCGAGCGUUAUCCGGAUUUAUUGGGUUUAAAGGGUGCGUAGACGGACUGGUAAGUCAGCGGUGAAACGCAGGUGCUCAACACCUGACCUGCCGUUGAUACUGCCGGUCUGGAAUGCGGAUGCUGUGGGAGGAAUGUGUGGUGUAGCGGUGAAAUGCAUAGAUAUCACACAGAACACCGAUUGCGAAGGCAGCUCACAAAUCCGCUAUUGACGCUGAGGCACGAAAGUGCGGGGAUCGAACAGGAUUAGAUACCCUGGUA